CAGUCGCCGCGGUAAUACGGAGGGAGCUAGCGUUGUUCGGAAUUACUGGGCGUAAAGCGUGCGCAGGCGGUUUGUUAAGACAGAUGUGAAAUCCCCGGGCUCAACCUGGGAACUGCAUUUGUGACUGGCAAGCUAGAGUGUGGCAGAGGGGGGUGGAAUUCCGCGUGUAGCAGUGAAAUGCGUAGAUAUCGGAAGGAACACCUGUGGCGAAAGCGGCUCACUGGACCAUUUCUGACGCUGAUGCACGAGAGCUAGGGGAGCAAACAGGAUUAGAUACCCGGGUAGUCCCUGUCUCUUAUAC
rnacentral:rRNA from 1 species